rnacentral:tRNA from 1 species
CGCGCGCUCGCGGACGGGGACGCCGGUGUCCGCGCCGCCGCGGCCGCCGGGGCGUUCGCACCGCCCGGCGCGCGG